AACGAACGCUGGCGGCGGGCCUAACACAUGCAAGUCGAACGCUGUAGCGAUACAGAGUGGCAGACGGGUGAGUAACGCGUGGGAACCUUCCCAAUGGUACGGAAUAGCCCAGGGAAACUUGGGGUAAUACCGUAUACGCCCCUAGGGGGCAAGAUUUAUCGACAUUGGAUGGGCCCGCGUCGGAUUAGCUAGUUUGUGAGGUAAUGGCGCACCAAGGCAACGAUCCGUAGCUGGUUUGAGAGAAUGACCAGCCACACUGGGACUGAGACACGGCCCAGACUCCUACGGGAGGCAGCAGUGGGGAAUCUUGGACAAUGGGCGCAAGCCUGAUCCAGCCAUGCCGCGUGAGUGACGAAGGCCUUAGGGUUGUAAAGCUCUUUUGCCGGGGACGAUAAUGACGGUACCCGGAGAAUAAGUCCCGGCUAACUUCGUGCCAGCAGCCGCGGUAA
rnacentral:rRNA from 1 species